CUACGGGAUGCUCCAGUGAGGAAUAUUGCACAAUGGGGGAAACCCUGAUGCAGCAACGCCGCGUGGAGGAUGACGCAUUUCGGUGUGUAAACUCCUUUUAUAUGUCAAGAAAAUGACGGUAGCAUAUGAAUAAGCACCGGCUAACUCCGUGCCAGCAGCCGCGGUAAUACGGAGGGUGCAAGCGUUACUCGGAAUCACUGGGCGUAAAGGACGCGUAGGCUGGUUGGUAAGUCAGGUGUGAAAUCCUACAGCUUAACUGUAGAACUGCACUUGAAACUACCAACCUAGAGUAUGGGAGGGGGAGAUGGAAUUAGUGGUGUAGGGGUAAAAUCCGUAGAUAUCACUAGGAAUACCGAAAGCGAAGGCGAUCUCCUGGAACAUAACUGACGCUAAGGCGUGAAAGCGUGGGGAGCAAACAGGAUUAGAUACCCCCGUAGUC
rnacentral:rRNA from 1 species